rnacentral:rRNA from 1 species
UACAGAGGGUGCGAGCGUUAAUCGGAAUUACUGGGCGUAAAGCGUGCGCAGGCGGUUUCUUAAGUCAGAUGUGAAAGCCCCGGGCUUAACCUGGGAACUGCGUUUGAAACUGGGAGACUAGAGUGUGGCAGAGGGGGGUGGAAUUCCACGUGUAGCAGUGAAAUGCGUAGAUAUGUGGAGGAACACCGAUGGCGAAGGCAACCCCCUGGGUUAACACUGACGCUCAUGCACGAAAGCGUGGGGAGCAAACAGG